CUCUAUCCAUUCCCCUCGCUCCCGUCGGUGGGUUCUCGGUCGCACCGCCCGCGCCGCCGUCCGCCGUCCUUCCUCACCGCCCUCGCCCCAGAGCGGAGCCCCCACCACCGACGCUCCUCCGGCCGGCUGAGAGGCGCGCCCGCGCGCUCCGGUCACCAGAUUCGUAGGCUUCGGCGAUGGCGUCGCCGGGGCCGUCCUCCCCUCCGCCCGGCCGGUCCGGGCGCCGCCGCCCGCCCGCCGCCUCCAACACCGCCGGCGUCCUGCCCACGGACGUGCUGUUCGACGUCCUGCUGCGGCUCCCCGCCAAGGAGCUCUGCCGCCUCCGCGCCGUCUGCCGCUCCUGGCGCUCCCUCACCUCCGACACGCUCUUCAUCGGCGCGCACGCGGCGCGCCACUCGGACCCGCUCUUCCUGGCCAAUUUCCGGGACGACGAGGCGCACAUCCAUGUCGUCGAUCUGUCCGGCAACGUGGUGAAGGUGAUACCCAACCCGGACGGCCACCAGCUACUCACCACACGCCUCGAUCUGACCUGCGCGGUGACGGUGAGCAACAGCUGCCGCGUGCUUGAUCCGGCUACAGGAAGGGUUCGCGUCCUGCCGGAGAGCCCGGCGCCGGAGCAUGCAGAUCGAGAGAAUGUACGCAAGCCGUACACCUCUUUCGCAUUAGGGUGGAUUGGCGCUACCGGAGAGUACAAGGUGCUAAGGAUGUUCAGCCGGCCCAUCCUUACCGGCUUUCACCAGUGCCAUCUAUUUGAGGUGUUUACAAUCAGCUGUACUUCUGGUUCCUGUUCCAGCCAUGCGCAGUGGAGAGUUAGGCCGAGCCAUGAGGAAUUUUUCGAGCCGGGCAGUGCCAUCGUCGUUGGUGAGGUGGUCUACUUCAAGGUGGAUACUGUAUGCGACGCUAUGAUUUGUGGCGGUGUCAACCCUGGCAUUCCUCUUGACCUCAUCUAUUCGUUUGACCUUGAGAGGGAGGAAUGGAGGGGAAUUCUGCAAGGGCCAAUAUAUGACAUCUUUCAAACCGACGAGUAUGAUGAUGAUUUGGAUGACUACCGUUCCCUUUGGUCUGAGAUUACUUUAGCUGAUCUGAGUGGCUCAUUAGCUCUUGUGCACUACCGUAAGUACCAGCAUGUCAUGGACCUAUGGCUUCUGAAAGACUUUGACAAUGGUAUCUGGGUGAAAGAGUAUAUGAUUCAGAUUGAACCUAUUUUCCCAACUACUGAGUGGUGUGUAAAGGCAUUGUUUAUGUUAGAUGAUGGAAGGAUAGUCAUCCAUUUCCCAAAGAGUGGACUGCUGUUCAUCUAUGAUCCAAGAACCGACACUUCUGCACAAGUGGAGAUGAGACAUCUUGAUGCGCUUGCGAUGUACACAGGAAAUCUGUUGAGUUUACAAGUUGGUGACAUGGUGUAGUGUUGUAACAUGCUGCUACUUGCUACUCUGUUUUGCAUGCGGUUAAUCGAAUCCACAUGUACAUGGAACAUUGUAAAUGGUUACCAUCAAAGCCGAUUGCAGGGUAGCAUAAAGUGCCAUCAUGGUGGCAGAGAAAGGCAAAAUAAUACUACGAGUGGAACUUUGACUGCUGAUGGAGAUAAUCAAUCGUAAGAUUGUCCAAAAAUCCAUACUGUCCUUUCUGUGUUGCUCUGCAAACUUAGUUCUGUGGACAAACUGCUGUUCAUUUAUGGUCCAAGAACCGACACUUCUGCACAAGUGGAGAUGAGACAUGUUGAUGCGCUUGCGAUGUACACUGUAAAUCUGUUGAGUUUACAAGUUGGUGACGUGUAGUGUUGUAACUUGCUGCUAGUUGCUACUCUGUUUUCCAUGUGCUAAAUGAAUCCAAAUAUACAUGGAACCUUGUAAAUGUAAGACAUUUCAUCCGUAGUUCAAUCAUGUUACCGUUAGCAGUUGA